rnacentral:tRNA from 1 species
GGGCCCGUAGCUCAGCUGGGAGAGCGUUCGGUUCGCAUCCGAGAGGUCGAGGGUUCGAAUCCCUUCGGGUCCACCA